CGAACCGUCCAAACGUUAUUCGGAAUUACUGGGCUUAAAGGGUAUGUAGGCGGCGCUGUUAGUCGGGUGUGAAAGCCCUCGGCUCAACCGAGGAAUUGCGCCCGAUACUGCAGUGCUUGAGGGAGACAGAGGUAAGCGGAACUGAUGGUGGAGCGGUGAAAUGCGUUGAUAUCAUCAGGAACACCGGUGGCGAAAGCGGCUUACUGGGUCUCUUCUGACGCUGAGAUACGAAAGCUAGGGGAGCGAAGGGGAUUAGAUACCCCCGUAGUCCUAGCUGUAAACGUUGAGCACUUGAUCGGGGACCCCCCAUAGGUUCUCGGUCGUAGCGAAAGUGUUAAGUGCUCCGCCUGGGGAGUAUGGUCGCAAGGCUG
rnacentral:rRNA from 1 species